rnacentral:rRNA from 1 species
AUCUUGCGCAAUGGGCGAAAGCCUGACGCAGCAACGCCGCGUGUGUGAUGAAGGUCUUCGGAUCGUAAAGCACUGUCGGGAGGGACGAAUAAGGGCGGAGCUAACAUCUCCGUUCGAUGACGGUACCUCCAAAGGAAGCACCGGCUAACUCUGUGCCAGCAGCCGCGGUAAUACAGAGGGUGCUAGCGUUGUUCGGAAUUAUUGGGCGUAAAGCGCGUGUAGGCGGCCAUGCAAGUCGGGUGUGAAAGCCCUCAGCUUAACUGAGGAAGUGCGCCCGAAACUACUUGGCUUGAGUGCCGGAGAGGGUGGCGGAAUUCCCGGUGUAGAGGUGAAAUUCGUAGAUAUCGGGAGGAACACCAGUGGCGAAGGCGGCCACCUGGACGGCUACUGACGCUGAGACGCGAAAGCGUGGGGAGCAAACAGG